GAAGACAAAGAAAUUGCCACGUUUUUGCUUAACUACACCACGUGGAUAGGUAUACCUUCACUGCUUCUGUUCCUCAAAUAAAAUCGCCUCCAUCCUUCUCGCUGAGUCCGCUGCCUCCGAGAGCCGGCAGGUGGCCAGGGGAAUCUUUCCGACCCAGAGAUGGAACACAAGUCACCUGCGUCUCCUGCAUUGGCAGGCAGAUUCUUUACAACUGAACCACCUGCAGGAUAUGAACACUUUAAACCAGCAGAUCUCCUGGAAUGGAGAAGCCCGUCCCUAAGUGGAAGGCAGGCACGCCUUCACUCCCAGCAUCUCCAGAUUCAAAUCAUUCCUGUGACAAGGUGGAAGUCAUUAAGGAGCACAAGGUUCAGAGACGGACUCUAUAAGCAACCACCUGGAUUUGAAUCCCAGCUCUCUUACUUGCAAGCUGUGUGGCCUUCAGAAGCCCCGUUGCCUUUCUGUGCCUCAGGUUUGUCAUCUGUAAAAUGGGCAAAAUAAGAAUAACACCUGCCUUGUGGGAUUGUUGUGAAGAUUAAAUGACUACAUGUUAUUAAGCCCUUAGAACAGCACCUGGCACAUGGUAAAAGCCACAUCAGUGUUUGUUUUAAAUAUUGUAAAUCAAUUAACUAACUCCAGCAGCUUCUAAGUCCCAUUGCAAUGGGGCAGAGGGGCCGGGGUGUGUCUGACCACUGCUUCGCCCCACCUCCCACCCCAUUCUUAUAGCUACACUGAGCCCUCUGAGCCAUCAGUUUCCUCCAGUCUGCAUCCCUGCGGUGAUUCAGAAAAGUAAGAAGACUCACCUGAAGUCACCGGGGACAAGCCCGGUUGUCAGGCCUCCAAGCUCACUGCCCUUCCCACAUACCUGUUUGGGCUACUUCUGCAGAAAAGACCCUUCCCUUCAUCCAGUCUCAAACACAUAUACGCACAUGCACAUCCCCACUACAUACUCACAAGCACAUCUGUGUUCACAGGCUUUCUCUCUCUCCCUCUCUGUCGUCCUCUCUCUCACACACACAAACUUCUCCCUUCACACAACUCAUUUAUCAGGGGCUUUGCAGUAAUAAUCCUACUCACCAUGGUAAGAACCAGAGAAGGGAAAUAUUGACUCAACUUCCAUUAUCUGUUUAAUCUAGAAGGUUCUGGGUCUUGAGUCUAGAAAGCCUCCCUGUGGUUACAGUAUGACUGGAAGAUGAGCAUCAUCUGCCCACCUUAGCCCUGAGAUAUGAGCAACUGGGAAAGACUGCCAUCUAAUGCAAUAAUCUAACUCUUUUGUUCGGUGCCUCCAUUUGUAGAACUGUGUACCCCUUUGCAUGUUUUCAGCUGACAUCUAAGGCAUUUUUUAUCAUAAGUCUAACUAGCUGCAAAGGAUGUGAUUUCCAGCCAUGAUUGUAUUUUUAAACUAGAUUGUCAUCAGUCCUUAGGGCUGCAGAUCAAGUUCAUGGGAAACAUGCACCAUAGAGCCUUAUGGGCAAAGUCAGUCCUCAUUUGGCAAAUCAAUAGGGCAAAUCAGACUGAUUGUCUGUGAGAAAGAUAUGAAAAUGUCGGCUUCAUUUUUUAAUUAAUUUUUAUGGGGUUUUGUUGAUUUACAAUGAUGUCUUGGUUUCCACUAUACAGCUUCAUUUUUUUUUAAUUGAAAUAAAUGUGUUGAUACCCA